AAAAGAGGCUCCAAUAAGUGAAUUUUGAAACAGCCUUAAUUUAUAACUGGUGAAGUUCUCAUAAUUCGCCAAUUCUCCACAUUGAAUCAUGAAUCUUGUCGUAUGCCCCAAAGUUGACUGCCCAUCCUCUCGUGAAACAAUAUUAAAAUUAGAAAUAUGAUAACCUCUUAAAUUUGGGUUUUCCCUAUCAAUGACACCAGGAUAUGGCUUAUGAAACUUUAGAUGGCCAAUUUGUAGAAGGCGCAGCCCAUACAGUUCCUGAACAAUGUCCUUG
rnacentral:misc_RNA from 1 species